GUUGUUUUUAACAAUAAAACACUCGUAUUUGAGAAGAAAAUUGUUAUUUUAUUUGUUUCUAUUCACUUUUAAAAAAUUUCUUACUAAAGUAAACAUAACAGAAAGCACUUAUCGCCUUCUCUAUAAACAAAGAAUAAUCAGUUUGAAGGUUUACAAGCAAAAAUUAAUCCAAAGUGCGCAAUAUUCAAUAACAAUAGACAUAAUAAAUAAAAUAAUUAAGUCAUCCCC
rnacentral:lncRNA from 1 species